rnacentral:rRNA from 1 species
GAUGAACGCUGGCGGCGUGCUUAACACAUGCAAGUCGAGCGAAAAUAAUUGGGAGCUUGCUUUUGAUUAUUUUAGCGGCGGACGGGUGAGUAACGUGUGGGUAACCUGCCUUUUACUGGGGAAUAAUCACUGGAAACGGUGACUAAUACCGCAUACGGUUCUUGGAAGGCAUCUUCUGAGAAAGAAAGGAUUUAUUCGGUAAAAGAUGGGCCCGCAUCUGAUUAGCUAGUUGGUGAGAUAACAGCCCACCAAGGCGACGAUCAGUAGCCGACCUGAGAGGGUGACCGGCCACAUUGGGACUGAGACACGGCCCAA